CGCCAGCAACGAGUAAACAGACCUCCUGGAUGUCGCAAGGCGCUAAGUUUUCGCCUUAAACGUUAAAUGACAUAAACUAUAAAUUUAGCUGUGAUACCGAAGUACACGGAGACGCAGGUAGUGAUUUGAAGCAGCAUACCGAGCAUUUAAUAUUUUUUUUAAAACAGUGGGAUCUGAGAGGCUGCUGAAGGCGAUUAUAUCUGUGCUGCGUUAAGCUAUCAUGCUAAGCUAAGUGCUAGCCACGGCUAACUUGGAAUGGUAGAGCACAGCGCGAGCUUCUCCGGACAUGGCAGCGGGAGCAGGGGCCGCUUCUGGCGGCUCCCUGGAGUCCACUUUGGUCAAGAAGUUUCAAAGUGUCACGAACACGAUGGAUUCAAUUCAAGGAUUGUCAACGUGGUGCAUCGACAACAAGAAGUACCACAGCCUGAUUGUGCGGCAGUGGAUCAAGUGUUUGAAGAAAUCUGAUGCCCUACACAGGCUCAACCUUUUUUACCUGGCCAACGAUGUCAUUCAGAACUGUAAAAGGAAAAAUGCCAUUGUCUACCGUACGGCAUUUGCUGAGGUGCUCCGUGACGCCCUCUUGCUGGUCAACUUUGAAGGUGACCCUAAGGUAAUUAAAUCAGUGGAGAGGAUACUGUCCAUCUGGGAGGACAGGGGUGUGUACUCAGGGACACUCAUUACUGAGCUUAGGAGUAGCUUAGUCAAAGAGGAGUCCCCUCCUGAGGUACCACAAGAGCCAAGAACUCCAGUAGAGUCUAAAGCAGAUCUACGGUCCAAGGUUGUUGCUGAGUUUGUGCCCCAGGCACUGAUAGAUGAACUGACCAAAUACAAGAGAUCUGUGGAGGAGAUUGACCUGAGAGAAAAGCAGCUGACAGCUAUGAGGGUUGACAUCUGCAGUACUGAGGCCCUCAAGAAACUCAAAGAUAAAGCUGGAGGAAAGAAGUUCUCCAAGGACUUUGAGGAAGGAAGUGCACAACUACAGGAGUUUGUCAAGUUCCUUGACAAACAAAGCAAAAUGGGGCCUUCUGUCAUGGAGGCCCUCAGCAACGCAGAUAUCUUCUACGAGACGCAGUAUAAUGAGGUCAAGAUCGUUGCUAAUGCCUACCAGACGUUUGCUAACCGGGUGUCCCACCUAAAGCGUAAGCUGGACACCCUGAAGGCCACCUUACCAGACCUGGACGAGUCACCCAUCCCCUCACCCUCUGCAGAUGCGCCAUCUCCAACGGGCUCGGAGUCCCCUUUUCAUGGUCUGGAAUUAGCCCACCCUGAUCCAGAUCUUGAUGGCUCUGCUAUGGAUGAUGAGGCAGAGCCACCUGCCCCGAGCCCCUUGUCCUCACCAGGAGGAUCCCCCAAGCCCACGGAGACUCUUGGGGUGAAUGACAAUCGUGAAGUGGAAGACAUGGACCUCUCUGAGGAAGAAAUGGACAGCGGUGGUAUUAUAGUUGAGGAGCAGAUCGAAUGCCCUGCCCACCCAGAGGUGUCCACUCAAGUCCCUGCAAAAAGGAAGCCAUCAGUGGCAACAGAGCAGCCUGUCACACAGAGCCCGACCCCUAUAGCAGCUGUAACUGUAGCAACUCCUGUAACUGUUCCUGCAGCAGCUGUGGAAAGUGUUGACCUGGGUAAAAUUGGCUCCAUCCUCAACAGUUUAAACUCAGUCAUAAAGAACACAGGACCGUUUGUGGAGAGUCCUCCUGCGGUUGCCCCUGCUGCCUCCUCAUUGAAGACCACACCUGCUGCCUCUGUGGCUGUGGCCUCUCAGGAUGCCAGUUCACUGGUGAACCUCCUCUCCAAGGUGGACAUGAGUCCUGAAGACCUCCUUGGUGCUCUCUCUAAAGUCCAGGGCCAAGGCAACCUUGAGGGCAUCACUUCUCUUCUGAGCAGCCCAGCUGCAAAUAUCUCCUCAGACUCCUCCAGUACAGGCAAGAUUCCUCCCUCUCCCUCAUCCACAUCUGCAUCAGCAAUACCCUCUCAGAGCCCGUCUGUCUCCUCUGUCGCACCUGUGCCUUUUUCACCCAGCUCCACUGUAAGGCAGAGCACAAGCUCCCAAGCCCCUCAGACUUCCAACACAGCUUCUGCCCUGGUCCAGGCUAUCCAUAGAGACAUGGAUUUGACAACUGAGCCAGAACCGUCCUUGUCUUCUAAGAGUUUAGAAUCUAAAAUCCACCGUUUCCUGCAGGGGAAUUCUGCUUUCAGUGCAUUUGACCUGGGCUUUUCUACAACCCCAGUGCUGGAAGGGGAUAACCUCAGCCCAGUAGCUGGAACAGACAACCAGGGUGGGACUCCGGUGCGGGAUGAGGGCGGAGGCACCCCAACUCAAGAUGAGAUCAUGGACAAACCUGUUGUGGCCCCGUUCAUUACCAACACAAAUCAGUCAUCUAUGGUUGAAACUGCAUACCAGAACAGCAGUCAGCAGAACCCCAACCAUCCCCAACAGCAACCUCACUUGCAGCCAGGUGUGGCUCAGAAUGGGAAGGUGUACCAGCCGUACCCAUAUGGUCAACACGAGAUGUCAGAGCAUGGGUGUACGGCACCUGUUGCACAUUAUCAAAAGAUCUCUGCGCAAACAGGAGGUCCAGUGCCUGGAGAAAGAGCCCCAGGCAGUGCCAGUAUCACACAGACAGUUGAAGGCCUUCAGGGGGUGAGUGAAAGGGGAUGGUAUGGUGUUACUUACCCAGAGGGGAACUCUCAGCAACCCAGAGGCUACAACGUGACAGCGCCUGAAGGGGCUGGAGAAACCAAGAUGGCAGGACUUUAUCCAUACCAAGCAGAGCAACCUCAAGAGUUGGCCUCUCAGCAGGGCACCACCACAUCCCCUGGUUUCUUCAGAAGCACCCUCCCUCCCAUCCCAAACUUCCCUCCUCCUCCUCCUCUUAGGUUUGACGCCCCUCCUUCCACGCCAAGCAGUACAAUGAUGCCUCCAGAGCAUCAGCCAGAGCCCCGUGCAGACAGAGGGGAGGUGAUUGGGGCCAGAGUUGACAGUGUCAUCAGUGGGAUGGUGGUCCACGACCAUCAACACAAAUCCAUGUUUCAUCCUGAUGAUCCGCAGUAUGACCUCGAUCGACCUCGCCCUCCUCACCCUGAGGAUUUGCACCCUUUCCCAGAUGACCUGCGUUACCAGGAGGACCCCGAGCGUUACCACAAUGAGCUCCGCCACAGUGAUGAUCCUUUCUUUCAAGACAACCCGUACGGCCACCCAGAUGAUCCAUAUUACCGGCCAGGCAGCCCGCCACACCACUACCCCAGAGGACGAGGGCGGCCCACUCCACCUCUCUCACCCUCAGAGGACCCUUUCUACGCCCAUGGCUUCCAGCGGCACAGCCCCCCGCCUCCGCAGUACACUCCAAGGAGACCCCCACCUCAUCUUGAAAUCCGUCAUCCUGGUCUACGGCCUCCACAUCGGCUUCCACAUCGGCCUCCACACCUGGCACACCACCCACACCCCAGGGGACCCCCACAUGCACCUUUUCCUCGGUUCCACGGCCCCGACCCAAGGUUAAGAGGCAAACGUCCAAGUCCAAGAGGAGGGGGAAAUGCUGGUCCAAUGUUCCCCCCCAAAAGACCCUUCCCACCCCCACGGUAUUGACUGGAUAUGUAGCUUUGAGCUCUUUAAAUCACUGUGGAAGUCAUGAAGGCACGAGGCGGGACUUUAAAGACUGGUCAGUAACUUGCUAGUCCCUCAGUGUUGAGGUCCACACCCUGCCGUGAGAAGCUUCUGAAAUGGAAAAUGUGAAAAGAUAAAAGUGCAGAUACUGAGGGUGUGCAUCAGGAGACAAGGUUAUGCUGAAAGAUUAAUUCAGCAGCUACCAGAAGAAAAAUGUAAAUGGCGAAGAAUAAAGGAUGUUCAGAAGGUUGAGGAGAACAAGAGACACCACUGGGAGAUGUAAAAGAAAUCGGAGGCUCUGAGAGGGCUGCUGAGCUGAACAGUGAAGACAGAAGAUUAAAGAAAAUAAGAGGGAUCCGGAGCCUCGCUUUGAUGUUUCCGAUGUGAUGGGGAACCUUUUUCCACAUGUUAACUGGAACCUGAAGAAGAGGGAGGGGGAGCGGUGAUGCUGUGGUGGCUCUCUUCUUUGAGUCUUGCACCGCUCCCAGUGAUGGCUCUUCAUGGUCUGACGUGACUGCUGUGCACCGCAGCAGUCGGUUCAGUGUUUGGGAUGAAUCAAAUGGGAGCAGGAAGGCUGUACAGAGAGGCCCAUGUGAUCACUGGGCUGGUAGUUUAGCGGCGGUCCCUGGCGCCAGACAUCACGGCUCGUACAGCCCAGGGGAGGAGGGAUGGAGCUGAGAUGGACAGGGAGGGAGACACCGGCUUACGACGUCAAAGGAGUACAGACACACGCACACAGGGAGAGGAGAGGACAACCAACCAGACUGCCAAUUCCCUACGGUCUCCUGAAGGAAGCCUAAAUUCAUCUAUCACAAUACUCUUCAUUCAGCAGAGCUACAGAGAGAUUUGUUUAUUUUUAUAUCAGAUUUAUUUGAGAGAGAAAAAAAUCCGGAGCAUCUGUGAGGAAAGAGAAGGGGGGGGGAAACAACAAGCAGAAAAACACGCUCAUGCCGAAUAAAGGACCGUCGUUGGAUGUUACUUGUGUUGUUAUAGGGGGGGUGCAGGCCUAACUUGUUAGAGGAUUCAAAGACGCUCUUACAGACAAAUGAACUGAACAAUUGAGAUUCAAUAACUAAAUAACAGCGGGGGGAAGAAGAUCAUCCACUGAUUGCACCGAUUUCUUGCCACGAACAGCA